UGUUAAACAAAACUUUCAUGUUGCUACAUAACCGCGCGCACGGCUUUCCGAAAGAUUUAACCCUGCAGGGGUGCUCCAACUAGUCCAUCACAAAUUACCACAAGCCGCAUAGAAAUCUUCAAUCACGAAGCUCGCGAUCUCGUCGGAUUCCCUAGUGUAAAACCUCAACUCUGAGUUUACCAAAGCAUCACCGGAAUCCCGAUGCACAAGAUAUUCCAUCAAAGGUAAAACUAAUCCAGCAAGGCCGCCUGACAUGUCGACGAUCCCAAUAGGAGCCGCGUAUCCCGUUCUCAGGACACAACGGAUGGAAAAGCCUACAGGUACCAAACCUCAAGUUCCCCAGUGGUGGCCCCGCAGUCUGUCCAUUUUGGACCAACACUCAUGAGGAGCACUGGCCCGGGGGUUGAUUAAAUUUCCUCGGGUUAAUUACUCCCUAUGCAGUUCAU
rnacentral:lncRNA from 1 species